UAUCAUGCAAGUCGAGCGAACAGACGAGGAGCUUGCUCCUCUGACGUUAGCGGCGGACGGGUGAGUAGCACGUGGAUAACCUACCUAUAAGACUGGGAUAGCUUCGGGAAACCGGAGCUAAUACCGGAUAAUAUAUUGAACCGCAUGGUCCAAUAGUGAAAGACGGUUUUGCUGUCACUUAUAGAUGGAUCCGCGCCGCAUUAGCUAGUUGGUAAGGUAACGGCUUACCAAGACAACGAUGCGUAGCCGACCUGAGAGGGUGAUCGGCCACACUGGAACUGAGACACGGUCCAGACUCCUACGGGAGGCAGCAGUAGGGAAUCUUCCGCAAUGGGCGAAAGCCUGACGGAGCAACGCCGCGUGAGUGAUGAAGGUCUUCGGAUCGUAAAACUCUGCUACUAGGGAAGAACAAAUGUGUAAGUAACUAUGCACGUCUUGACGGUACCUAAUCAGAAAGCCACGGCUAACUACGUGCCAGCAGCCGCGGUAAUACGUGGGUGGCAAGCGUUAUCCGGAAUUAUUGGGCGUAAAGCGCGCGUAGGUGGUUUUUUAAGUCUGAUAUGAAAGCCCACGGCUCAACCGUGGAGGGUCAUUGGAAACUGGAAAACUUGAGUGCAGAAGAGGAAAGUGGAAUUCCAUGUGUAGCGGUGAAAUGCGCAGAGAUAUGGAGGAACACCAGUGGCGAAGGCGACUUUCUGGUCUGUAACUGACGCUGAUGUGCGAAAGCGUGGAGAUCAAACAGGAUUAGAUACCCUGGUAGUCCACGCCGUAAACGAUGAGUGCUAAGUGUUAAGGGGUUUCCGCCCCUUAGUGCUGCAGCUAACGCAUUAAGCACUCCGCCUGGGGAGUACGACCGCAAGGCUGAAACUCAAUGGAAUUGACGGGGGACCCGCACA
rnacentral:rRNA from 1 species